CUUAAAAACGAAGAAAAAUUUAAAAAGAAAAAAAAACAAGACAAAGCAAGAAGCUUGGAGCUUUUCUAAGUAUAUAUAUAUAUAUAAAAUAAGUAAAAUAUUAUUGGAAAAUAUCGAUUUCUAGAAAUAUUUUUGAGGACUAUCUAGAACGAUACACAGUUACGUUAAUAAUUUGUGCCCUCUCAACAAACAAAUCUUGUAAUAUCCUCUAUUCGCUAUGCACCAUACUACAUUUCCGUCGCAAAUUAUGUCACAAAUGAAUGGACAACAGACCAAUGGACAAUGCUCACUAGCUCAAGCUCAUGUCUUUCAUUUUAAUAGUACAAUGAAUACAAAUACAUUGUAUCAAGCCAAUUACACCCAGUACAACCCAAAUGUUUCCGGACACGGUAGACGUCGUAUAAUGCAGACAGCAUUGCGACCAUUGGACCUGUUACGACAACUGGGAGUUGAUAUAUCAUCAGUGCGAUACACGGAUUACGCACAAUUAAACAAUUUUUCUGGAAAUUGGUUAAAGAGAAUUAAUACAUUUGGUGAUGUACCAGUUUUAAAUGUACCUCAAUAUACCAAGCCUCUAAAUAAUAAUAUAACAAAGAAACCAAUCUGGUUAAAUAAAGGAAGACCAUUUAGAGGACCUUUCAAAAAGAAUGAAUUAUAUAAUAAUAAUAAUAACGAUAAUAAUAAUAAUAACAAUAAUAAUAAUAGUAAUAAUAGUGGAAGUAAUCCUUGUCCAACAAAACCAAAGAAGUAUUACAACAAUUUAACAGAGAUAUAUGAAGUUACAAGUUUAGGAGGGCCAGAUAUAAAUAAACAUCCAGCGAUAAGAUCAAGAGAAAUAUCUUUAGAAUCCUUUUUGGGAUAUAUACAAGAAUAUUAUUAUACUCAGAAUGUGUGUCCACCAAUUUCAUUUCGAACAUGUAGAACAUGUAUGGCAAAGCAUGAAAGGGGUAGUUUUCCAGCAUUAGGUCGUAUAUUUCAUAAAGGUUUUAUAGAUCCUGAUAGAUACCUUGCUGAAUCUCACUUGGUGGAGAUAACUUCUGUACCAGGUAAUCUUGUCACUGAACCGAUAAAAUGGGACGACCUGUCGCGACAGAUUUGGUCAAUGUUUAUAUCAAAUCAACAAACAGAAUCUACUUAUAGAAAUAAAAUAAUGCUAUGGAAAAAUCUUCAAUGUCAUAUCAGAAAAUGGUACCGAAGAUACGACUUGAUUAUGAUAGGCUCAACAAUGAAUGGAUUUGGGCUUGAAAAUAGUGAUGUCGACAUGUGUCUUUUAGUCAGACACGAAAAAGUGGAUAACAGGGAUACGGCCCUUAUGCAUUUAAAUCAAGCAUUAAGGUGCCUUCAGCGAUAUAAGUCUGCAGAAAAUUUGGAAAUUAUACAAGCAAAAGUGCCUAUCAUAAAUUUUCAUGAUUCAAGACAAAAUUUAAAUAUUGAUAUAAAUUGUAACAGCAGUGUUGCCAUCCUGAACACACAUUUGUUAUAUUGUUAUUCGAGAAUUGAUUGGAGGGUAAAACCGUUGGUGUUAAUUGUAAAAUUAUGGGCGCAAUUUCAUAAAAUCAAUAGUGCAAGGAAUAAUACAUUAUCUAGUUAUUCUUUGACCCUCAUGGUCAUAAGCUUUUUACAGUGUGGUAUUAAUCCUCCGAUCCUGCCGAACUUGCAGAACCAUACAAGCCAAUUUCGAAGCUUUUAUCACGAAGAUAUCCAACCUAUUAUUGAAGAUAUUCAUAAGAAAGAUCUAGGACCAAUAUAUAUCGGUUCUUCAUUAUAUCAGAGUAGAAAUACGCAAUCUCUCGGAGAAUUGCUUCACGAGUUCUUUAAAUAUUACAUAAGUUUCGAAUUCGAGCAUCAUGCGGUAUCUAUAGAAGCGGGAUAUAAAAUAAAAAAAGAAACUUGUCGUUUGGCGUCCUACCCUAAUAACAACCGUGGUCAUUGGAAAUAUAUAGGUAUCGAAGAGCCAUUUGACCGCACCAAUACAGCGAAAGCUGUCUUUGACGAAAAAAUAUUCUAUAGGAUUCAAUCCGUAAUUGGUCAGUCAUAUAAACAAUUAGCUGGUAAUAACAAUCUUAACAGCCUAUUCAUCGAGAUAUCAGAAGAGCAAUGUCCAUCACUUGAAUCGCAUGAGCCUGAUGCACAUGCCAUCUAAGUACCUCGUACCUAGUAUCUGCUAGACUGACACAUAAAAGGCUUAAUCAUUAAUUAGAACAUAAAUGAUACGUAAAAGCGCUUUAUUUUUGAUGAUUCUUAAGUUGCUUUGAUUGGAUUGGGAAGGCAUAAGGAACAUUGGCUUAAAGUCAUUAAAAUCAUUACGCGAUAUCUUGUCAUUUUAUUAAAUGAUGACGACUUAAAUUUAGUUGAUCAAAAACAAUUUGGAAGAAUAGAACGAAGUGAAAUCAAACUGUCUAAACUGUUUUAUGACACAAUUUCAGAAUCAUCCUUGAUUAUAUAGUAUUCAGAGAGAGUAUUCCAGAGAGAAGCAGGAUAUUUUCUACUACUUUUGGAGAAGAAUUCUAAGAGCGCUUUUAAUCAUUAUUUACAUUCUAGUUAAUGAGCCUUUAUGCGAACCUUGCGAUUAAUAUUAUACGUCUAAUAUUAAAAUAAUAUAUUAAAGAAGUAUCAUUAUAUCUGUAAAAAAGGAGGAAAUAGUACUUAUUCUUUUCUGUAAUUGUUAUUUAAAAAGGAAACAGGCGUAAGUUCACAUAAAUACA
rnacentral:misc_RNA from 1 species